UUUGGUGCCUGCGAUUUUUUUUUCAGCCUCAUGGAGAAAAAAAGAAGUCAAACUGUGCCUCUGUAAACCAAUUUUGUCCAAUAUCUGGCUACAAGACUUCAGGAAACACAAGAGAAACAGAAGUAAUUAGGAAACUUCUGCAAUCCCUGCUCUUCAUAGUAUCGUUCAGCACAGUACAGCCUAGGAGAAAGGAGGCAGUGAAGUUGUUCAGAAGCAGAUGUGAUCUGAAUGGAAACACCAGCCUGAGGUGCGUAUUUCCUAUGGAUGAUUUUCUCCAUUGUCUUCCUUUCCUUUUGGACAACACAGCUUAUGAUGGAUCCAGGUUUAUUCUCUGAAGGAAGAAAAGCACUGCAUUAUGGUUCCAGGUGCAAUUCAGCAACAGGGACUGUGCGUAACACAGACAUGUUUCCCUGCAGUGUCAAUGAGACGUAAGUGCUUUGCUGAAUUAGAGCCAUCAUCAGGCCAGAGUCAGUUACCCAUCAGCCUCACAUCCUGCAGAACUUCCACAGUUCAGAGGAAUCCCCUUUCCCCAGCUGCAAUGCUACCUGUGCCGGCAGAAACAUGAAUCCUACAGGGACUUUGAAUAAAGGUGUUUCCACAGAGGAUUUGUUUCCUCCUUUGUGCUGA